CCUAUCAAACACUCAUUCUUGCGCAGCUUCUAUUGAUCUAUCUCUGUUUACAUUUUCUUCUUCAACGGUGCUCUUCUAGUAUAUAGUAAUUGAGAAAAGCAACUGGUAAGCAAAUUAGCAUCGAAUUUUGAGAUGAAUUAGUGGAAGCAAUAUUUCGCCGGCCGACGAUUUGCUACCUUGGUGCGGUAGAUGUUCAAUUUGUAUAUAUUUAAUUGAAGCUUCGCUAUCUGGUUGGCGAAAUUCUUCUAGUUUUUGCCCAACUCGUUCCCUAGAAGCGAAAGUGAGUGUGAUGUUCUUUCUACUUUCUGUCCUUCAUUGCUUCUCUACAUUGUUGGACUACACUGUGUGAAUCAUGGAUGUGUUGAACGUUGAUGAUCUCUACAGACCUGUAAUGAUUUGCGAGAAUGAUCGCAACUCUUUAUGAACAUCUAAGGGACUGAGUUCUUCACACUUGAGAUAUUCCAUUUUUUACGGAGUUUUGUUAAUUGUAAAUUAAUGUUUCGUACUAUGGCUUUGAAUCUGUUGUUUUCACAGUUCGUGCUUCGUUGUAUAGUGCAGAGCUGCGUUGAUCAAAGCUAGAUGAUGUUCCCCUCGCUAUCCAGAGCUUUUGUUGAGCUUUUGGACGUCGGGGAACCACAUUAUUUUAAUGUUUCAUUGUAGUUAUGAGGUUUGAAUUAGGAGUUCAACUUGUAUAAGUGUUAUUAAGUUCUCUUGAUACAUAAAUGUUAAGUAUCAUACUGAUGAAUCAAAAUGCAAGACUCUUUUACUAAUUGGAAUAGUAUUAAACCUCUUC